rnacentral:tRNA from 1 species
GGUGGUAUAGUUCAGUGGCAGAGUGCAUGCCUAGCAUGCCCAAGGUCCUGGGUUCAAUCCCCAGUUCCUCCA